ACACACAACAUUUUAAAAACAUUUUUUAAAUGUCAUAUGGACGUCUCUCACAAAAUAUUUCAAUAAGAUAUCAUUUAAACAUAAAAAAAAUGUUUAUUUUAUUGUUUUUGAAAUGUUUUAUUUCUAACAUUUAAGUAAAAUGUUUUUACAACAUUAACAAAAUAUUAUUUGCUAAUAUCUUUUAUUCAUGUUCUCAAACAUUGUUCUAAAAUAUCCCGUAGAUAUUUUAUAAUAUAAAAAAAUAAUAUUUUCUUCAAUUGGUAUUUUAUAUUUUAACAACAUUUAAAGUAAAUAUUUUCCAAAUAUCCAAAAAACAUUCUGCAAAAAAAUGUUUUACAGAAAAUAUAGUUUUGCUAUUUGCAUAAAAUGUUUUAUAACGUAAAAUUAAAAUGUUUUACAUAAAACAUCUGAAAAAUAUCAGCUAAAUGUUUUCUAUAAAAUAUUCUGACAUACACAUUACUUAAUAGUCUUACUGAUAUUUUAUUCAACAUUUUACGGAUAUAAAAAUAACAUUUUAUUUAAACUUUAUUCAAAACCCCACACACAACGUUUUGUGGAAUUAGCUCGUUUUUUUCAGGAUAAGAUAUAGUACUACAUUUCAUCAAUAUCAUGACAAGCAAGAUACUAUGGUUGAAAUCCUUAAUUGAUAUCUUGAAGAUCCUUGAAGUCAGAUUGUAUUCCUUCUUAUAUUAAAAUUCAAAAGAGUCAACAUUAAAUUACGCAAUAAUGUAUUAAUAAACAAUCACCUUUUUUGUUUAAUGUUUAUUCAUUUCGUUCGUGUAUAUUUUAGAAAUUAAGAAAUGAAAACUGUAACUGUACUAAGUUCAAUUUUCGUAUCGUUUAAAUGUCUUACGGAAAACCGACCUUUUCCGGAAUCGACUUUUGUUUUAUCACCGGAAAUGAUUUUGAAAUUUGAAUUUCGAAACGAAGACAGGAUGUCAACAAAGAGAGACAAGAAAAUUGUUUGUUACGCGAUAUAUACUCACUUGGUAAGAAUGAUUAAUCUGUUAAGAUGAACUUGUGCAUUCAUCGUGUGUGUUCAAUCAUAAUCGGAACCAAAUUACAUCUGUUUCUGGAGGUGCGGAUCAAGGUUUUGAAAAAAGGGGGCCCCCUGCCCAAGGCAAGCAAACGUUUGGAGUGAUACUUGCAAAUAGUCUAUACAUUUAUCUUAUAAGUAGCUCCAUAAGGGGGUCGGGGCCCCUAAAUCCGCCACUGUUCAAGCAUCUACGUACACCAAUUAUGAAUUUGUUCAUUGAUAUAAAAAAAUUAUAAGGAUAUGUGGCUUGUGUGUUUGAUUGCCAAUACACCUUAUCGCUAUUUGUCCGCCAUUACUGGCCAUGGACAUCACAAAAGUUCCCAUAAAAUGUUGACGUCAUAUUAGAAAAUAUUUGACACCACAAUUGAAAGUAAUACACCUUAUCGCUAUUUGUCCGCCAUUACUGCACAUCACACAACUGUCACAAGUUUCCUUAAAAUUUUGACGUCAUCAUAAAAAAUAUCUGAUGCCACAAUGGAAAAGUGAUUGUUGUUUGACGUCAAAAGUUCAAGCAGGAUAGAUUCUCGGAUCAAGCGGGAAUAGCGAUAAGGUGUAUUAUUGUAUGACGUAUGCUGACGUAAAAAGUUCAAGCGGGACAGAUUUCCAAAUACUGAAAUAGCGAUAAGGUGUAUGAGACAGCUAUCCACCAGAAUUUAAAUGACUUGGAUAAAAGAAAUUAUAGGUCACUGUACAGCUUUCAAAACUGAGAAAACCAAUGCCAUAUAGUCCACUUUGAAGCCUUGACAAACAAAUGUUAAACUUUUCUCAACACAAUUGAAACAAAACAACUAACUGCCUACAUUAAAUACACAUUAUGAAAAAAAUUGACAGACUUAAACCAACAACAACUAUUGCAAUAAGCAUGACUCAAUACCUUGUUUCCGAGGCACACAAACAAGUUACAAUAACACUAAUAUAAGCACCAUUUGAAUAUGGAGAUUUUUUUUUCUAGUAAAAUCAGUGUAUGUAUGUAUUUGCAAAACAGUAAAUUAAAUUUCCCUUAACAGCUUAAUGAACAUUACAAAGACUAUGUAAGACUUCAGUACAAGCAAGAUAAUAUAAACUGUUGCUUAAAAUUAUAUUUAUUGCUUCAUACACACAAUGUACAUACAAUGUAUCUUUUAUUUUUUAACAGGAGCUAAAAGAAAAGCCACAAAGGACAAGUUCAAUAUGCAGGUUUACAAUUUGGAAGUGGCGCAGGUUCUUUGGAAUGUCUACAACCUUUCAGGAGAAUUUUUUUUUUAAAAGCAUGGCACAGCAAGAAAAAGAUAUAAGACACUACAAGACAUUCCAAGUGAUUUUGAAUAAGACAAUUGAUUGACUUUUUCAAUGUAUUCUUAAAUAAAUCAAAUAGUUGAUGUAAAA